AGUGAGCGGCAAAGCUCAAAUUUGAAAUCUAGCACCUUCGGUGUUCGAGUUGUAAUUUGAAGAUGGUAACCUUGGGUUUGGCUCUUGUCUAUGUUCCUUGGAACAGGACGUCAUAGAGGGUGAGAAUCCCGUCUGAUGAGAUGCCCAUUCCUAUGUAAGGUGCUAUCGAAGAGUCGAGUUGUUUGGGAAUGCAGCUCUAAGUGGGUGGUAAAUUCCAUCUAAAGCUAAAUAUUGGCGAGAGACCGAUAGCGAACAAGUACAGUGAUGGAAAGAUGAAAAGAACUUUGAAAAGAGAGUGAAAAAGUACGUGAAAUUGUUGAAAGGGAAGGGCAUUAGAUCAGACUUGGUGUUUUACGAUUAUCUUCUCUUCUUGAGUUGUGCACUCGUAUUUCACUGGGCCAGCAUCGAUUCGGAUGGCAAGAUAAUGGCAGUUGAAUGUGGCUUCACUUCGGUGGAGUGUUAUAGCUUCUGCUGAUAUUGCCUGUCUGGAUCGAGGGCUGCGUCUUUUGACUAGGAUGCUGGCGUAAUGAUCUAAUGCCGCCCG
rnacentral:rRNA from 1 species